UUUCAUCCCGAAAGACGUUGAAUUGCCUCUCGGGUUGUCUUCUGCUGGCUUCUCAAAACUACAGAGAUUCUGCGGAGGAGUGGCUCUUUGGCACAGAAGAACAAAUUCCAAAAUAAACUGUGGAUGUCGACAUGCGGAAGUAUGAAACGAGAUCCCUAUCCGUUACCAGGAGGAUGCAAACCCAAGUAAGACUCUCCAACAAAUGUUUCUGCCACACUCAAGAUAAAUAUCCACUUAUGCCAGCAUGGCUUCUCUGAUGGGUUACGUGACGUCUUGUCAGGACAUCCGUGGUGUUUCUGACGCAUGAGAGCUGAGAUCAAGACCUUUUUCACUCACAUUACAGAUGUACUC